GGCAAGCCUCCACAGCCAUUUACACAUUUCCCUCCUCAGCAAUGGGUACACAGACAGCCAAGCUCCUGGACUAAGUCUCUGAAUGGUCUUGUCAUCUCCUAAUCAGCAGAAGGAAAAGAAAGUCAGGGAUGCACAGCAUCUCUCAGUUUGGCCUGUUACAGAAGACUACAGAUAUGAUCAUGGAUAAACCCAACGAAAAUCAGUAUCUGACAAUAUGUAAAAUGACAUGGUAGUGUCAUUAAAUUGAGACCUGAAAUUGUGGAUCAGUUUAACCCAGAGUCACAGUUAGGCAAACCACAAAGCAAUCUAAGAGGAGAUCACAGCAUAACAGCAUUGCACCACUUAUGUGGCUAUUAAGGACCCUGCAUCAAACAACAAAAAG
rnacentral:lncRNA from 1 species